rnacentral:rRNA from 1 species
UACGAAGGGUGCAAGCGUUACUCGGAAUUACUGGGCGUAAAGCGUGCGUAGGUGGUUUGUUAAGUCUGAUGUGAAAGCCCUGGGCUCAACCUGGGAAUUGCAUUGGAUACUGGCAGGCUAGAGUGCGGUAGAGGAUGGCGGAAUUCCCGGUGUAGCAGUGAAAUGCGUAGAGAUCGGGAGGAACAUCUGUGGCGAAGGCGGCCAUCUGGACCAGCACUGACACUGAGGCACGAAAGCGUGGGGAGCAAACGGGG